GGACACAUGGGCCCUGUGCUGUCUCAGCUGAGAGGGCCCCGUCUGCUGAUUCAUUUGCACCUGGGGCUUCUUGGCUGGUCAUCUGGAAAGGUGAUGGGUCACGCAUCUUCCGGACACACCGUGAAGUGGAAGAAAUGGAACAGUAGCUCUGCAUCACAUGUGAAGAACAAGAAGCACCAACAUAGGUCUUCAUUCUACCCUCAUGAAACUGUAUAGAUUUCAUCUUCAAUAUUAAUCCACAGGCUUUAAGAACUUAAAGCUCUCUAAAGAGCUCCCGGGAUGGAAACAGUUGUCAGCUCUUCCGCCAAAGGUGCUCAAACCAUCCCACUGCCACAUUCAAAUGUAAGAAGCUCCCAACAUGGAGGAGACAUCCCUUCUAGUUAUGGUCUUGGUAUGCGCCAGCUCUCUUUCACUAAUGUCCACUUUAAAAAUAUACAUCAUAAACUGGGGAUAGUGGCACAUGCCUUUAAUCCCAGCACCUGGGAGGCAGAAGCAGGCAGAUCCCUGAGAGUUUGAGGCCAGCCUGGUCUACAGAGUGAGUUCCAGGACAGCAGGGGCUAUAUAGUCAAACCAUCCACAUUUUGAAAAAACAGGCAAAUGUAUAUUAUUUACUUGUAUUGCAUAUUAUAUUGUGCAUAUAUGAUAUGUAUGCAUCAUAAUAAUCUGUCCUUCCCAUACAUUGAAUGAACUGAUAUUUCAUUCUCUCGUAAAUUUGG